UGGGGAAUAUUGCACAAUGGGCGCAAGCCUGAUGCAGCCAUGCCGCGUGUAUGAAGAAGGCCUUCGGGUUGUAAAGUACUUUCAGUCGGGAGGAAGGUGGUAAGGUUAAUAACCUUAUCAAUUGACGUUACCGACAGAAGAAGCACCGGCUAACUCCGUGCCAGCAGCCGCGGUAAUACGGAGGGUGCAAGCGUUAAUCGGAAUUACUGGGCGUAAAGCGCACGCAGGCGGUUGAUUGAGUCAGAUGUGAAAUCCCCGGGCUUAACCCGGGAAUUGCAUCUGAUACUGGUCAGCUAGAGUCUUGUAGAGGGGGGUAGGAUUCCAUGAGUGGCGGUGAAAUGCGUAGAGAUGUGGAGGAAUACCGGUGGCGAAGGCGGCCCCCUGGACAAAGACUGACGCUCAGGUGCGAAAGCGUGGGGAGCAAACAGG
rnacentral:rRNA from 1 species